GAUGAACGCUGGCGGCGUGCCUAAUACAUGCAAGUCGAGCGAACAGACGAGGAGCUUGCUCCUCUGACGUUAGCGGCGGACGGGUGAGUAACACGUGGAUAACCUACCUAUAAGACUGGGAUAACUUCGGGAAACCGGAGCUAAUACCGGAUAAUAUAUUGAACCGCAUGGUUCAAUAGUGAAAGACGGUUUUGCUGUCACUUAUAGAUGGAUCCGCGCCGCAUUAGCUAGUUGGUACGGUAACGGCUUACCAAGGCAACGAUGCGUAGCCGACCUGAGAGGGUGAUCGGCCACACGGGAACUGAGACACGGUCCAGACUCCUACGGGAGGCAGCAGUAGGGAAUCUUCCGCAAUGGGCGAAAGCCUGACGGAGCAACGCCGCGUGAGUGAUGAAGGUCUUCGGAUCGUAAAACUCUGUUAUUAGGUAAGAACAAAUGUGUAAGUAACUAUGCACGUCUUGACGGUACCUAAUCAGAAAGCCACGGCUAACUACGUG
rnacentral:rRNA from 1 species